rnacentral:lncRNA from 1 species
CUCAGGAGCGAGCGGGCAAGCUGGGAAGUAGCCGUAGCCCUCAGCAGUCUCUCUUUCUCCUCUAGGAGCCCACGGGGUCCAGCCCCUGUUGGAAGGAGACGCUGGAAGGGACCAAAGUCUGGCUGCAGGAAGAGCACAGGAGAGAAGAGAGAGCACAAUCAGCUGAUGAACCUCCGCUUUGCUCCGGAUCUCUUCUUCCGCGCUGGCGCCGCACAACGACGCGACGGGAGAGAUGGGCGCCCACGCCGGGUGCGCGGGAGGACGCGCCGCGGCUCGGGGA